GGGCAGGUCGUCACCCGCACCAUGCUGCUCGAAAACGUGUGGGACUAUCACUUCGAUCCGCAGACCAACGUGAUCGAUGUGCAUAUCUCGCGGCUGCGCUCCAAGAUCGACAAGGGGCACAACAAGCCGCUGCUGCACACCAUCCGUGGUGCCGGAUACAUGAUACUGAUCCGGACGACAGCGUUCCGGCUGACGCUGGUCUAUCUGUUCCUGUUCGCGCUGUUCGCGGCAUCGCUGCUGGGCUACUUCGCCUGGAAUACGCGGCGCAUGAUCACCGAGCAGAUCACCGACACCGUCAACUCCGAACUGAGCGAACUCACCGAGCAAUAUACCAAGGGCGGUCUGCGCGGGCUGGUCGCUGCCGUCGAGGGCCGCGCGCUGCGUCCGGGCGCCAAUCUUUAUCUGGUGACAACCCC
rnacentral:misc_RNA from 1 species